rnacentral:rRNA from 1 species
UACGUAGGGACCAAGCGUUGUUCGGAUUUACUGGGCGUAAAGGGCGCGUAGGCGGCGUGUCAAGUCAAUUGUGAAAUCUCCGGGCUUAACUCGGAACGGUCAAUUGAUACUGAUGUGCUAGAGUGCAGAAGGGGCAAUCGGAAUUCUUGGUGUAGCGGUGAAAUGCGUAGAUAUCAGGAGGAACACCGGUGGCGAAGGCGGGUCUCUGGGCCGAUACUGACGCUGAGGAGCGAAAGCGUGGGGAGCGAACAGG